AGAUAGAUACACUUCAAUGAGUCACACGAUUCACUGGAUUACUUGCUAAUAAAAUUAUCUCCCAGCAAUAAUGCAAAGGUUUUAUGUCACCAACUAAAGUUUAUUCUUAAGUCUACAAAAAAUUAAUAAUUAUCUGAGAAGGCUAAUAUUAUAUUAUUAUUAUUCAACAGCUAAAAUCAAACAACCUACAAGAUUCUUGUCAGCAAACAAAAAUUGUAUAUUGAGUUCGCUGCAUUAGUUCAUCUCAAUUUUUUAGUGCGAUGGCGUCAUACGUAUGCAUUGUCAACAAUUGAGAAUCGAUUACGCACGCACGUCUAACAGACGUCCAACAAGCACAUGCUAAUGAUUCAUUCCCUUAUCACACUACCAUGUAACGUUCCAGAGAACAACUAUGACGUGUUCAACGGUAGUGACGUCAGUCAAGGAUUCAAAAGUUCGGUUAUGACAUGACGUCACUGUCAGUAGUGUCAGUCCUAUAGUUGGUCCAAUAGCACAGAACAACUUGUUCUAACUUAUUCUAUAUUAUAAUGAUAUAUAUUGUGUAUGUAUUAUCUUGAAACAUUUUUCUAGGAUUCAAUACACAUGUUUUUACGGAAUAAUUAAAAAAUAUUUACCUCAAUAGUAGAAUUUUCCAGACCAGAUCAGGUACGUCGGAGUAAACAAGUGUCCGUUCCGUAUUCAGAUUGACAGGUUUUUGUCUAGUGUUUACUAUCUACACUUCUAGACACUAGUUAAACAUGUGUGGUGCUAUUCUAGUCUGACGAAGGACGACAGAACAGUGAGACUCUUGUAUGCUACUAUGCUGCGCUGUAGAUUUUCCGGGUUUUCGGUUUCCGGAUUGCAAGCAAAAAAAUGAAACUGAGCCUACAUCAUCUAGGAUUAUAUUUACGUUUGUAGUGUAUUUUAUUUAGCAUCGUGAUCCGGAGAUGAGUGCAUUUUAUGAAAUUUUAUAAUUGUAGUUGAAAUGUACCAUAUUUAUCAGUAAAUAUGAAUAUUUCAAAUUCCAGUCAAACAAGCUCCGAAUCCGAUUUUUGAAAUGCUUCUCAAAUAAUAAUACUUUUCCCACAUGUGGAAAAUGUAACCCAGAAAAUGUUUGCCUUAUAAGAUUUCUUGAUUAAUAUACACAUGAAUUUUAUGAGAAUACUUAAGUAUAAAAUUUAAUAUAUGACUUCAUAUCUUUACAUUUAUGUAAUAAAACAAAGAUUCUAUUGAAUAAUGGUCAAAACAUUUAUAGUAUGUGUAGAAAAGAAACGCUCUAAACAUUUGCAUCUAUUGCUAAAAUCACAAUUAGGCGUUAGUGGUGUAUAAUCUAAUUAUAUUUUUCAAGAGGAGCAUAAUUUAAAAGUUUCUCGAUAA